rnacentral:tRNA from 1 species
GUGGAUGUAGAUCAGUGGUAGAUCUCCAGAUUGUGGAUCUGGCCGUCGCGGGUUCGAACCCCGUCAUCCACC